UUUUUUUUUUUUUUUUUUUUUUUUUUNNNUUGUUUUGUCUUUUUGCCUUUUCUUGGGCCGAUCCUGUGGCAUAUGGAAGUUGCCGGGCUAGGGGUCUAAUUGGAGCUGUAGCCACUGGCCUACGCCAGAGCCACAGCAACUCUAGGUCCAAUGUGGGAUCCGAGCCGCGUCUGCAACCUACACCACAACUCACAGCAACGCCAGAUCCUUAACCCACUGAGCAAGGCCAGGGAUCGAACCCGCAGCCUCAUCGUUCCUAGUCGGAUUCGGUAACCAUUGAGUCAUGACGGGAACUCCAAAGGGAUAAUAUUUCUUAUACAUACAUCUGAUAAAAGACUUGUAUUCAAAAUACAUAAAGAAUUUCUAUAACUCAAUACUAAAAAGAAAAACAACUCAAUAAAAAUGGGCUAAAGACUUGACAGAAACUUCCCCCAAACAAUAGAACAAUGCUCUAAUAUGCUUUGAAUUUCUGUUUCUAUGGUUUAACUAAAUAACACCUGUCUGCCCAAAACAGGUGUUAAACUUUGAAUAUAAAAAUUACCAAAUCAUAGAAAAAAUAUUCUCUCUAUAUGAUAAGCUUAACAAUGACAAAAAGAAAGCAACCAUUCUUGAUAAGUUUUUAACAAAGAAAUCAAAUGCUUUCAUCCUCAGUAGUUCUGUUUUAAUUUACAAGUGCAACAAAUAAAUAGUUUUGCUUUUUUUUCAUUUCUUCUAUGUUUAUAACAGAGUAAAAGAGUUUUUAAUGCAGUGACAAAAUGGUGAAGAUUAUGGAACAAUCAUUUUCCCUACCAAUUACUAGGGUUGCUUUGCACACAUUUUACAGACACCUUCACAGUCAUUUUUAUGGUCCCACAUCUGGUAAGGUAAAGCAGAGACUCCCUUUAUAAGAACCAUCAGUAACCAUGUUAAAGGGUUUAACAUCAUUAAUCAUCACUGAAAUGAAAAUUAAACUUACAAUUUUAAUUAUAAAUUUAAAGAGAAAUUAUUAUAUAACCAAUUAGACUGUCUAAAAUUAAAAAGAUGGAUAACACCAAAUUUUGCUGAUACUGAGAAACAAUUAGAACUCUCAUACAAUGCUCUUGGUUGAGUAUUUAAAUUAGUACAACCACUUUAGAAAAUCAUCAGUUUCUUGAGCAGUUAAACAUGUAUCUAGACUAAGGUCCAGCAAUUCCACAAAAAAGUGUUAUACAAAAAUAUCUAGAGCAGUUUUAUUUAUAACACUUAGUGUGGAGCUAUCCACAUGUCCAUCUAAAGAAAAGAGACACAGAGACAGUGGGAUAUUCAUAUAAUGGUAAAUGACUCUACAAUAAAAAGAACAAAUUAUGAUACCCUUAACAACAUGAGUUUCACAAUUAUGUUGAAAGAAACAGACCAGACAUAAAAGAGCAUGGAGCUCAAGAACAACUGAAACUAAUUUAUGUUGAUUGAAAUCAGGAAAGCAGUUGCCUUGGGGAGGGGUGAACAAGGGAACUUUCUGUGUAGGAUAGAAAUUUCUGUAUGUUGUUGAGUGGUGGCUACACGGCCAUAUGCAUGUGUGGAAACUCAUUUAAUUUUACAAUUAUGUUCUGUGCAUUUCACUGUAUAAAAUAUUUUCCCACAAUUAAAAAAAGCAUUAAAAAAUGAAAAGAAAAAAUCUUUCCCCUAAAAGUGUAGCAAUAAUAUUCAAAGUAAGUCAUAUAUUAUAGUACAUAGACACUAAUUCUUUCUACCUAAUAUUUUAUAAAUAUAGACGUGGAAAAAAUCAUUAGCUUUAUUAUAUUUCUUUUAUAUCCAUACUAGAAAAGAAGAAGACUUAUAGACUAGUACAAAUAUGUCAAAAACUACUUUCAAUUCUCUUUUGGUAAUUGUUCAAUCUUCAGGCAAAUUUCCUAAUAGUACCUGUGAAAAUAGCAAUUUAUCCAGCUUCUAGAGAGCAUGUCAUAUGCAGUAAUUUCAUUGUAAUAACAUUCUAAAUACAAACUUAGUUUUAAAUUUCAAGCAUAAACUUUAAAAAUGUACAUCUCUCAUAUGUAACAAAUAUUAACUUAAUGCAGUUGAGUUUAAAAAUUACAAAUGGAAUCUUGGCUUUUAAAAAAUCCAAUCUAAAGUAGGCUAACUUAAUAAGUAACUAAUAUCAGAAAAUUGGGCUAUUGAUUUUUAACAUAUCUUUUAAUUGGUAUAGAUUUCACUUUAUUAUCCAUAUGGAAUAAUAUUUAGUAUGUUUCUAACACUGGGGAAAUUGUUUUUAAAGUAAUAAUUCUUCUUAAUAAGGUAUUAAUUCACAGAACUAAUUGGUGACUCAAGGAUGCAGUGAUAAUAGGUUAUGAAUAUCUAAACUAUAAUAAUAACAUUAAUAGAAUAAGAAAUAUUACUUUAUUUGAAUUUUGAAAGUUUUCCAUUACAUAGUUUCUGCUACUUUUGCAUGUCUUAUAAAAUAGUUUCUUCCCCAAAAGUUGUUGUCUUAUAGUGCGUAAAAUUUAUAUCUGAAAUUCACUAAGUUGAAAUAAAUAAUAAUUUGCACAACCUACUCUGUUUGAAGACUUUACAUUCAUACUGCACUGAUUUUUAAGUUGCUACAUUAAUGUAAUAUUGUUAGUUUCUAUCAUUAACACUCAUUUAUUCUACAUUUCAGAGUUUUUACACCAUUAGUACAUACUUCCCCUGAAGUUCAGAAUCUCAGAGAAACAACAAGCACAUUUCUGAAGUUUCAAGUUAAAUGGUUAUCAGGAAGAAAGAAAAAAAGAAGGGUUUUACAUGCACACAUGAACAUGCAUAAUUUACUUAAAAAGUGAAGUAAAAGAGAGUAGGAAGAAAAUGAGGUGAAAUGGGGGAGGAGGUUGAUACAUAAAGGCUGUUAUGAAAAGUAUCAGCUACAGCUGCAUAGGACAGGAAUGGAAAAUAGGGUAACAAGAUAUGCCCCAGUUCCUAAAUAAGUUAAUAAAAUGUUGCUUGAAGAACAGCUGGCUUUAGCUGGAGCUGGGAUGAAGAAAAAAGAGUGGUUGCCUGGAGUCUACUUAAUGAAAGGUAUUAGAGCAUCAAUGGGGUCAAGCAGAAUUACACAGAGUAACUUGAAUUCACUUUUUUUUUUUACAAAAGGAAUUAUAUUUAAAAGGACCUUUAAAUUUAUAAUUUAGAAUUUGAUACCUAAGAUAAUUUCAUAACAGCAAACAUUACACCUUUGGAACUGAUCCAGGAUAAAAAAAUAUAUGUCUAGAAACUGUAAAAUUUCCCAAAAUGGCUUCAGUAUUUUAUGGAUUUUAUUAACUCACAUAGGUCAAACACAUAUUUGAGAAUAUAACUGUAGGUUUUUGUAAAUUUUAAAUCCUUACUAGUUCAAAAGACUCUAUAUACUUAGAACAUAAAUAUCUCUGCACAAAUUAAUGAAAUUCAUAUGAUGGACCUGAAUUUCCCCACUCUAUAAUUAAUCUAUUUAGCUAUUGUGAAAUAAUGCUAGAAAUAUCGUUUAAUGCCAACACAAAAGAUCUGCUGAAUUUCUAAAGUAAGAAAAGUAUCACAAUAUAGUAGAAAGAGUUCUGGGUUAGUAAGAGUUCUAAAAAUAAGUUAAAGCACACUCAGUAGACACUAAACCUCUGUGCUUCAUUUCCCAUGUUUGCAAAAUGAAAUGACUGAAUGAGGUUAUCUCUGAAAUCCAAUGAAGAUCUAAAAUCACAUAAUUUUAAAUUUUAAAAGCACAAGAAAAUACUUUUGUUUCAUCAUAGUCUUCCCUGUCACCCCUGGCAGAGUACCUCACAUGUAUUAAAUAACUUAAUCCUGAAUAUAUGGAUUAAAAGGGUACCAUACGUGAUAUUAAACAUACAUGAUAUUGAACUUCAGGUUUUGAAGAAGAUGGGGUAGAUGUGUUCCUCUAAUUCCGUCCUCUAAUUAUAACUAAAUCUGUGGAUGCCAAACAUAGAACAAACAUAAGAAGACCGUGAAAGGAGGAGGAGAAGGCAAAGCAAAGAGAGAACUCAGGACCCAAGGAAAAACACAGAAAGGAAAGAAAGAAAUAGAUUCAUUAUAGAGUGGGCAAAUUCAGGUCCUCUAUCUAAAGAGAUUUAGGAGAACGGCCAAAAAAUUCAUGAUUUCAGAAUUGCUUACGUCGCUUCUUACUCUAAAUUUAGCAGAGUUCCCAAUUUUUCAGAUCCACCACAUGAAUUUCAGUAAUUUGUGCAGGGAUAUUUAGGUUCUAAGUAUAUAGAUGCUUUUGAACUAUUCAGGUACAGGGAGCAGGCUUUUACUGGGGUCUUUCUGGUCUGAGCUGGUGGCAUUUGGAAAUUGCUGGCUUCUGGGAUAUAUGAGGAAAAGAAAACCCAAGAAACUCACCUCACCUCCUAUACUCCUCAAUACAACAUCCUGUACUACUUUCAUGCUUCGAUCUCAGCCUGACCCCUGAUGUGUGUCUUCCCUAGAUGUAUCUUAGAAUUCCUAUUUACUCCUCUGUAUAAAUCUCACUAUUUUCAUGAAUAGGGAUGGGGCCACACAGCAGCCUACCAUGAGUGCUUUAGUAUACCCAUAGUAUCAGAUCUCCCUAACUUCCACCACCUAAGAUAAGUCAAAUAAAAAGAAGAAUGUCCUUUGAUAUACACAACUGAUAUUUUCUCAUAGCAUACUGAAGAACAACAAAAAAGAAAAUUUAGAACUUGGCUAUUUUAUUGUUCUAUAUCAGAUAAUCUAAGCAAACACAAGUCUACCUGCCUAUGAAACCCAAGCUUCAAAACCCAGCAUCAUCUUCUACUGAGUCUAAACUUCUACAAAACAAUCCUUAAGCUACCAAAGAUCUUGAGAGAACUUAAACAUACUUUUCAAACUCCCCAAAAAGAGACCUCCAUGCCUAGAUAUUUUCACCGGAGAACACUAUCAAAUAUUUAAAGAAAAAUUAACACCAAUUUUACACAAUCUUUUCCAGAACUUAGAAGAGACUUGUGCUGGAAAGCUAGUAUUCCCUGAUACUGAUUCUGAAACUGGAUAAAGAUAGUGAAAAAACCCAUAAAACUCCAGACCAAUAUGGAUAGAGGCAAAAAAUCCUUAAUAAAGUAUUAGCAAGUAGAAAUCAGUGAUAAAUAAAAAUAAGCAUACCAUGAUCAAAUGGGAUG
rnacentral:lncRNA from 1 species